UACGUAGGGUGCGAGCGUUAAUCGGAAUUACUGGGCGUAAAGUGUGCGCAGGCGGCAAAGCAAGUCGAGUGUGAAAGCCCCGGGCUUAACUUGGGAAUUGCGCUCGAAACUACUUUGCUGGAGUGUGGCAGAGGAAGGUGGAAUUCCACGUGUAGCGGUGAAAUGCGUAGAGUAUGUGGAGGACACCGAUGGCGAAGGCAGCCCCUGGGAUCAGA
rnacentral:rRNA from 1 species